rnacentral:lncRNA from 1 species
UUGCUCUACAGGCUAACCUUCCAGUUCACUAAGGCCCAGAUUAUAAAUCACUCUAUUCUAGUUGAAAGGGAAGCUUUCCAGUAACACUUCAUUUGUGCCAUUGAUUUGGCAUUUAUCAUAUUCUUCCUUAGGCUUGUAGAUAAUACCAGCAGUUCCAAAACCUUUUAACAAAUUCUCCAGCCCUGAGAAUCACUUCUCUUUGGUAGGUCCAGUAAUCUGGUGAACUAGUUACCUGCCUCAACUUUCUCAACUCCUCACUCUUUCACAUCUGUUCUUCCAAUUUAAGUUCCAGAACAGAGACUUCACCUUCUCCUCUAAGUUCCAAGUUUUGACUAUUUGGCUGUUCUCUUUUUCUCUUUUCCUCUUUCUCCCAUCUCAUCUUAGUUCUUGAAUCUUGUCUCCUUUUCUAGCUUCUUAUUAAAACAUAACCAAGUCUCUUCUUCUUCUCCUUUCUUUUUUUUGAGAUGGAGUUUCGCUCUUGUUGCCAAGGCUGGAGUGCAAUGGCACAAUCUUGGUUCGCUGAAACUUCCGCCUUCCAGGUUCAAGCAAUUAUCCUACCUCAGCCUCCCAAGCAGCUGGGAUUAUAGGUAUGUGCCACCACACUCAGCUAAUUUUUGUAUUUUUAGUAGAGGCGGGGUU